rnacentral:rRNA from 1 species
GACGAACGCUGGCGGCGUGCCUAAUACAUGCAGGUCGAACGCUUCUUUCCUCCCGAGUUCUUGCACUCGAUUGGAAAGAGGGGUGGCGGACGGGUGAGUAACACGUGUGUAACUUACCCAUCAGUGGCGGAUAACACUUGGCAACAGGUGCUAAUACCGCAUAACAGUUUAUGCCGCAUGGCUUCAGAGUGAACGGCGCUUUCGGGUGUCGUUGCUGGUUGGAUCCGCGGUGCAUUAGCUAGUUGGUGAGGUAACGGCUCACCAAGGCCACGAUGCAUAGCCGGCCUGAGAGGGUGAUCGGCCACACUGGAACUGAGACACGGCCCAGACUCCUACGGGAGGCAGCAGUGGGGAAUAUUGCACAAUGGGCGCAAGCCUGAUGCAGCCAUGCCGCGUGUAUGAAGAAGGCCUUCGGGUUGUAAAGUACUUUUAGCGGGGAGGAAGAGAGGAAGGUUAAUACCUUGCCUCAUUGACGUUACCCGCAGAAGAAGCACCGGCUAACUCCGUG